CCUGCUGCAGCGGUGGGCCCUGUGAAGUUUUUUGAAUGCCUAUGAGUGGCCCCUUCUGGCUGUGCACGAAGGAUGAGUUGGGGGGACAGGUAGAGAUGGACAGCCCCAGGAAGAGGCAAGGCAGCUGCGCAGGUGUCCAAGGUCCCGUGGCGGAGGAGCCAGCCUGAGGCAGUGGCUGUCCAGGACCACAGAAGAAGGAAGGAUCUAUCCUGCUUAGUCCUCACAAGAGAGGAGCCCUGCCCGGUGGCUGCUGCUGUCCCCAUCCCUCCGAGGCUCUGAGAAUCAACUGGCCUGGCUCACAGGUCACACGGAGGCGCAGCAGAUAGAAGCCCAGGCCUGGGGUUGUUAAGUACAGUUCAGGAGGGGCUCUCCAGGAGCCUAUGGGAAGUGAAAUGUCCGCGUCCUAUGCACACAGGUGCUCCCUCCCUUUCCCUGUCCCUCUCUCUGGGGAAACCAACUCUUCUCUCUUGAGCUUUAUCCUGGCUCUUCCCCGACCUGCUCCAGGCACAGGGGCUCCCUCCUCACCAGCCAACCCCCACUGCAGCCUCAGCCCCUGACCUUGUUAUGAGGCCAGCUGCUCAGGCUUGUGUGUGGAAAUGACCUAAGCCCCUCCCGAGCUGGCCUCUUUGUUGUUUAUUGUCUGUUCCUCCUGAUUGCGCCUCU
rnacentral:antisense_RNA from 1 species